rnacentral:rRNA from 1 species
CCCUUAGAUGUUCUGGGCCGCACGCGAGCUACACUGUUCGACGCAGCGAGUCUUAACCUUGACCGAAAGGUUUGGGUAAUCUUCAGCAAAGUCGAACGUGAUGGGGAUCGAUCAUUGCAAUUAUUGAUCGUGAACGAGGAAUUCCUAGUAAGUGCAAGUCAUCAGCUUGCGCUGAUUACGUCCCUGCCCUUUGUACACACCGCCCGUCGCUACUACCGAUUGAAUGGUUUAGUGAGAUCUCUGGAUUGACGCUGGCUAGGGGGCGACCCUUGGCCAGACUGUUGAGAAACUGCUCAAACUUGAUCAUUUAGAGGAAGUAAAAGUCGUAACA